GAACUGCAAAAGGAGAAUGCAAGUAUAGAGAGGAAAGGUGCGGUUCCGAGGCAAAAGAUACUAGUGACCGAGCUAGUAUCAAUUGUCAACCGAAAUUUCCCGAGGUAAUUAUAUAUGUUAUUAUGAAAUUAAAAUAGCACUUUUUACUUGAACACAUAUACACGUUAACAAUAACAUUUAUUAUUGGUUUAGGGUAUUACACCUGUCAGCUGUAUCUAUCGUCACCAACUUAUCGCAUAGUUGGCAAGGGAAAAGUGCACAACACUUCGUCGAAUUACUUCACCAUAAUCCCUCCCGGUGGAAUAUUGAAAGUUCGGUUGACCUUGUAUUAGAUACCGACGCGCUUCUACCAUUACCUGACGUGUUUCAGAGACAACGUUGAUGCGAGAUACAGUCGGAUCCUUUGUUGGAUGGCCGUCAGAUCUAAUUUCCCAGAUCGAGGUAUAUAUGUUCUAAUGAUUAUGAAUAUUUAGUAUUCACAUUUCAAUUCAGCUACAAUUAUGAUAUUUAAUCAAUCCUUAUUACAUGGUAAUGUUAGACUCCUACAAGACCCACACAUAAACUGGUAAAGGGAUUUCAAGACGCAUCGAGUCGUUGCAUGUCAAAAAGUACAAAUUAAUAUACCCAUUGAAUUAUAUACGCAACGAUUCUGUUGCAUCACAAAAAGUCAUGAUUUAAUUUAUAUGAAUUUUUAGAUUCCCGGUCGAAAGUUGAAAAAAGCUGGUAACGAUAUCCAACGACGUCGGGACAAAAUCUCAAAUUAUGAUGGUCUGAGAAAAUGGUGGAAGAGUCCGAUAUUAUGCACGGCGCCAUCCGUAGUGUAGAUUUUGAUGAAGGUGUUUUCGGAAUUGCUCAUUCCGAAAAUAAUUGCAAGGGAGACAUGCAACAACUUUUUGAACACGAAGAAUUGGCAUCGAUGUCAUUCAUACAUACAUAUGGUACUCCAUCAAUCUAUUAUUUACUUAGUUGAACAAUUUAUUUACACAUUUCAAUGAGUAGUCUAAUGUUUAUUAUGUUUCUAUAUUUAAGGUAAGUGUAUUACAUUGAUGCGGGAACUGAAUUGUGUAACCGAUUCAUUUAUUGCUGCUUCCUGUAUCAACACAACGUUUAUAACGAAAAAUCCAACAUCCGUAAAGAUGAACUAGUCGAUAGAUUCAUGGCGGCCGGCAUAAUACUACACCCAGUUUGUAUUUUUACCGUUUAAUUCUGGCAACGGGUUAGAUUUUCUUUCUAAUAAUUUCAUUCUAAUCUAUGUAUAUCUUUUACGUAGAAAAAUUUUCAUGCAUCUAAAUUUUUGUUUUAUUUUACAGUGGUCACUGGGUGUUGGUUGCUAUGGAUCUUUCGAGACUAAUGGUGUAUUAUCUCGAUCUCGUUAUCGUGGUGAUUGGAGUAAAUAUCCGAGUAUGAAGAAAGACGGUUGACGCGUAAGUGAAAUUCCCCUAAAUAUUCGUGUGUAUUUGUAUAUUAAUUAUGUCUGUCAGAUUGAUCUCAAUAUAUGUUUUUAUUUGUUAGGGCAAUACUAAGAUUUAGAUCAAAAAAGAAUUACCGUAAUAGAAGGACAUUACCUGGGUCAGAGUUCAGGUAUAUAUUAAGUAUCUUAUUUUUGCUUAUAAUAGUGUUUGUUUUUUUGCUAUAAUAGUGUUUGUAAGAAAUUAACUAUAUAUAUAUUGUUUGUUUUUCUGUGUAGUGUCCUCAGCAAAACAAUUCGGUCGAUUGCGGAUUUUUUGUAUUGAGAUUUAUGAGAGAUAUCAUUGCGUUGAAUCGUAUAGACAUCCCAAAAAUGGUAUGGAUAAUAACUUAGGGUUUAUUUUAAUAUAUCGGAUAUUUCAUCUAAUUUGUUACUAACAUAUGAAUAUGUUUUAUUCUCUUAAUUGUAGUACUUUGAGGAAUACAAAUCUUACUCAAAGAGCUCAUUUGGAUGAAAUGAAGGAUGAAUUGUCAUUCAUUGUUGAUCAAAAUCAUAUAGCUAGGUUGUAUAUGUUGUACAUAUAUGUAUGGAAUGUUGUUGUUGUAUGCUGUUGUUGUAUAUAUGUUGUAUAUUGUUGUUGUACUUUUACUAAAUCAUGAAUAUGUUGUUGUAUAUUGUUGAUCAAAGAAUCAUAUAUUAAUGUUGUAUAUAUGGAGGAUUAAUGUUGUAUAAAAUGGAUUAUUUGUAUAUAUCAUGGAUUAAUGGUGUAUAACAUUGGAUUAAAGGAUGAAAUCAUAUGAAUUUUACACUUUUGCAGCAUGCCAACAGGUUACCAAUUAAAUAUCCACUGUUUUUUCAAACAAUUUUUUAAAUAAANGGUUACAACAAAGAAUUGUGAGUAUUUCCAAAUGCUAUGAGCUUAUACAUUGUCACAAUAUGUUAUAUUGAUGAUCUUAUAAUCUGAUUCAUUUGUAGCUAGCCGACGAGAAAAGUGACGAACACUCUUCCGGAGCACGUAUUGUGGAAGGCUGCUCGGGUUGGGAAGGAUGGGUUUGUCGUUGAAGCGGUUCAAAAUGUUAUACGAAUGUGUUAAGUAUAUGUAACAUUAUUUCUUUAAUUAUAUCGAAAAUUUGUUAGACAUAUAAUUCAUUUUUAAUCUCCUCUAAUAAUAUUUCAGGAGACUUUAUCACAAACCUUACCUUCAACCGAGGUCCAGGAUUGCAGGAGCGUACUUAGUCGAGUACUAAAUGUUCCUGAGUAUUCCGGUCGUGUGAGGGGUAGGGUUUUGGUGUGACUCCGUUGUCAUUUUAUAAAAAACCAAAAACAAAAAAUCCUACCAACAAAGAGGUGAUGGAGACCUUGGCGGAGUUAAGGGCACAAGUACUCGAACUGCAAAAGGAGAAUGCAAGGUAUAGAGAGGAAAGUGCGGUUCCGAGGCAAAAGAUACUAGUGACCGAGCUAGUAUCAAUUGUCAACCGAAAUUUCCCGAGGUAUAUUAUAGUAUUAUGAAAUAAAAUAGCACUUUUUACUUGAACACAUAUACACGUUAACAUAACAUUUAUUAUUGGUUUAGGGUAUUACACCUUGUCAGCUGUAUCUAUCGUCACCAACUUAUCGCAUAGUUGGCAAGGGAAAAGUGCACAACACUUCGGCUGAAUUACUUCACCAUAAUCCC
rnacentral:lncRNA from 1 species